rnacentral:tRNA from 2 species
GGGGCUAUAGCUCAGUUGGGAGAGCGCCUGGAUCGCACCCAGGAGGUCGGCGGUUCGAGCCCGCCUAGCUCCA